AAAUAGAUACCCUGGGUAGUCCACGCCGUAAACCGACUGAGUGCUAAGUGUUAGGGGGUUUCCGCCCCUUAGUGGCUGCAGCUAACGCAUUAAGCACUCCGCCUGGGGGAGUACGGUCGCAAGACUGAAACCCAAAGGAAUUGACGGGGGCCCGCACAAGCGGUGGAGCAUGUGGUUUAAUUCGAAGCAACGCGAAGAACCUUACCAGGUCUUGACAUCCCGCUGACCGCUAUGGAGACAUAGCUUUCCCUUCGGGGACAGCGGUGACAGGUGGUGCAUGGUUGUCGUCAGCUCGUGUCGUGAGAUGUUGGGUUAAGUCCCGCAACGAGCGCAACCCUUGUCCUUAGUUGCCAUCAUUCAGUUGGGCACUCUAAGGAGACUGCCGUACAAAUACGGAGGAAGGUGGGGAUGACGUCAAAUCAUCAUGCCCCUUAUGACCUGGGCUACACACGUGCUACAAUGGACGGUACAAACGGUUGCGAAGUCGCGAGACGGAGCCAAUCCGAGAAAGCCGUUCUCAGUUCGGAUUGCAGG
rnacentral:rRNA from 1 species